AAGAUCCCCUAGCUAGGGUUUUCAUUUUCUCUCUAUCUGCACCAAAGGUAAGUUUCAAGAGCGUUGCGGAUAGCCUUGCAAUGACGACCGUCGUUCCUACCUCCGAAGAAGAUCCGGCCCUCGCCGUCGUCCGCUUCACCUCUGAGCUUGCCUGGGCGGAUGCGGGUCCUGAGGUUGUAGAGCAACAAGUUUCUAGGCUUUGUUUGGAAGCUCAAGAAUGUAUCGUGAUGGGCAGAUGGCUGGACUUGGCCUCUCUAAUGCUUACUUCAGCUGACUUGAUAUUCUCCAACUCUAAGGUGUCAGAGAAAGAUCUUGAGUGUAUCUUCACUGUUAUCUGCAAUCUUGUCUCUAAGUCUGAAAGUCCUGAUGAACAACUUGAGAUGGCAAAACUUUUAUGUGGAAAAAUCAUUCAGCAACCAACUGACAAGCCUGCAUUGCGAUUGAA
rnacentral:misc_RNA from 1 species